rnacentral:rRNA from 1 species
UACGGAGGGGGCUAGCGUUGUUCGGAAUUACUGGGCGUAAAGCGUACGUAGGCGGCUUUGUAAGUUAGAGGUGAAAGCCCGGGGCUCAACUCCGGAAUUGCCUUUAAGACUGCAUCGCUAGAAUCAUGGAGAGGUGAGUGGAAUUCCGAGUGUAGAGGUGAAAUUCGUAGAUAUUCGGAAGAACACCAGUGGCGAAGGCGGCUCACUGGUCCAUUACUGACGCUGAGGUGCGAAAGCGUGGGGAGCAAACAGG